rnacentral:rRNA from 1 species
CCUACGGGAGGCAGCAGUGGGGAAUCUUGCGCAAUGGGCGAAAGCCUGACGCAGCCAUGCCGCGUGUAUGAUGAAGGUCUUAGGAUUGUAAAAUACUUUCACCGGUGAAGAUAAUGACUGUAGCCGGAGAAGAAGCCCCGGCUAACUUCGUGCCAGCAGCCGCGGUAAUACGAAGGGGGCUAGCGUUGCUCGGAAUUACUGGGCGUAAAGGGAGCGUAGGCGGACAUUUAAGUCAGGGGUGAAAUCCCAGAGCUCAACUCUGGAACUGCCUUUGAUACUGGAUGUCUUGAGUGUGAGAGAGGUAUGUGGAACUCCGAGUGUAGAGGUGAAAUUCGUAGAUAUUCGGAAGAACACCAGUGGCGAAGGCGACAUACUGGCUCAUUACUGACGCUGAGGCUCGAAAGCGUGGGGAGCAAACAGGAUUAGAUACCCUGGUAGUCCACGCCGUAAACGAUGAUUGCUAGUUGUCGGGAUGUUUACAUCUCGGUGACGCAGCUAACGCAUUAAGCAAUCCGCCUGGGGAGUACGGUCGCAAGAUUAAAACUCAAAGGAAUUGACGG